GGAAUCUUCGGCAAUGGACGAAAGUCUGACCGAGCAACGCCGCGUGAGCGAAGAAGGCCUUCGGGUCGUAAAGCUCUGUUGUUAGAGAAGAACAUGGGUGAGAGUAACUGUUCACCCCUUGACGGUAUCUAACCAGAAAGCCACGGCUAACUACGUGCCAGCAGCCGCGGUAAUACGUAGGUGGCAAGCGUUGUCCGGAAUUAUUGGGCGUAAAGCGCGCGCAGGCGGUCUCUUAAGUCUGAUGUGAAAGCCCCCGGCUCAACCGGGGAGGGUCAUUGGAAACUGGGAGACUUGAGGACAGAAGAGGAGAGUGGAAUUCCAAGUGUAGCGGUGAAAUGCGUAGAUAUUUGGAGGAACACCAGUGGCGAAGGCGGCUCUCUGGUCUGUUACUGACGCUGAGGCGCGAAAGCGUGGGGAGCAAACAGGAUUAGAUACCCGAG
rnacentral:rRNA from 1 species